CAUAGGCUAUGCUAGACACCCCACCAAAGCCCCAUGUCAAAAACGCACCACAAUAACCCAUGUUACACCCUGGCCUGACCAAAUAAAUGAAGACAAACAUACAUACUUCGACCAGGGCGUGACAUUAUUAUAAUGUAACCAUGACAAUGGAUUCCUGACAUAGUUGGAGCACCUGCCGCCUCUAGCUGUGGGAACUUGGAAAAAUAAACGAAAGUUCUAUUAAACCAGUAUGUUGUUAUUCCUGUUUGAAGAGAGGAAAGGGCUCCCGAAGAUUGAAAUAGUGUUCUUCAAUUAUUUUAAUGCCUAAUCUUUUACGUGAAUGUGUAGUGAUUUUACAAAUACAUUUUGCUCCAUCGGGAAACUGAUCAGACAGGCAAGCAGGCACGAUGGAACACGCCUCCACACACGACACACCCACAUCCUGUUAGAUCACCUGAUUAAGCUGAUAAAUACUCAUCAACAGUCCCAAUUUAUUGACAAUAAAGGUUGUUAAAAAAAAAUAUAUUUUUUCAGUCUAGUUACAUCUGCAUCUUAUCCAGUCGUUUUAAUAUUUGCAUUUGCAGAGGUGGAACAUAAAAUGCGGGUAAGAUUAUUUUAAAACUCAUUUGUAGCAUUUCUAAUGAAAGUUAACUGAAGAGGUAAAGUUUGUUAACCUAUAUUCUUGCUCUAAUAGUCUGUUAAUCAAAACAUCAUGAACAUCCUUCAGUGUAACGGUGCUGUUACAGAUACUGCUUGUGUUUGUCAUCAUUAACAUCCUUCAGUGUCUGUCUAGAAACGGUGCUGUUAAAGAUACUGCUUGUGUUUGUCGUCGUAUGAUUAAAAAUCAUGUCACUUCCUCUUUGUGUUUAAUUUAAAAACAAGGUUAAACUAAUACUGUUCUGGUCUUUUUUUCCCCAUUGUUUUCAGGAUAAUGACGAUGAAAACCAACAUUUCGGCUUUAAAGUAGAUGUAGAUUAAAAUUGCAAUGGAAAAAAAUGUUUAAUCAAUAUUUUUAUAAUGGAGCACGGUAUACAAAAAGGACAGGUUACUAUUGAUACUACUGACCUAGACUUUAAACGAGGUUUCUCAAAAGAAAUGUGUAAACGCAAGUUAGACUUCUUAGGUCCUUUUGAUCCAAAUACUGUAUUUAAACAUGUAUCUUUCCUAAAACCAAAUAACAUCUCUGAAGAAAGUAUAAAUGUGAUUUACAUCAAUAGUCCGUAUGAUUAUUUCAACGUAAUCAUCUAUUUCUGGCAAAAUAAGGAACAACAAAAAAAUGUAACAGACCCAAUUUAUAUAAUUUCAGGGUGUUAUAUUUCUAGAAUGGAUAGGAAUGACUUCUAUAUUAAUACUGAGCUCAGAAUUAAUGAUACAGAUAUUGACCUUGCUAUUCAGGAAGGCAAACUUAACGUAUCUGCUAUUGCAAUUAAAGGACAACAUUUAAAUCAUGUUUCAUAUAGUACAGUAGAUAAAAUGGCAUCGAAGAACCGAGAUUUCGGUCUUGAUCUCACUUACAUAAUCAAUGGAAAUCAGGAAAGACUUCUUUGGAUAACUAAUCAUUUUGACAUCAUUGCUUUACUUGCGGUAUCAUUGUCAGAGGUAAUCAGAAAUCCUGUGGUGAUAUUUAUUAACCUAAUUGCAUUAACGAUGGAUUCCUUACAUGUUUGGACUGACUUCCACCGGCACCUGCCACCUCUAGCUGGGGGAACAUGGAAACAUAAACAGGAGUACUGUCCCAAAUUUAUGGAACGACUAAAACUUUUUUUUUCAAAAACAUUUUCUGAAAUUAUUUGAACAUGGAUUUUCUUUGAUAAAUUUAAUUAAUAUAAUAAUAAUAAUAAUAUUAUAAUAAUAUAUGCCAUUUAGCAGACACUUUUAUCCAAAGCGACUUACAGUCAUGUGUGCAUACAUUCUACGUAUGGGUGGUCCCGGGGAUCGAACCCACUACCCUGGCGUUACAAGCGCCAUGCUCUACCAACUGAGCUACAGAAGGACCACUAAUUAAUUUGAGAAGGGUGGUGGAGGGUCCAAAUAAAGCCAAAUAAAACCAAAAUGUUAUAAAAUAUCAACAAAUUCAUCGUCAUUAUCCCCCAUGUUGUUUCACCUCCGCUUCUGGGAGGAGCCAGGCGAGGCCACAGAUCAGACUCCUCCAUCUCAUCCCACCAACUCUGUCAGUCCACCAGGCCACUGCAGUAACAGCCACAUCUUCACGUCACGUAGCUUCAGUACCAUCUCAUCCCACCAACUCUGUCAGUCCACCAGGCCACUGCAGUAACAGCCACAUCUUCACAUCACAAAGCUUCAGUACCAUCUCAAUGUGUUGAAGUACCAUCCAGGAUCCUGUGGCAACGUCAAUGUGAAACAGCAUUGACCCGUGAUCACCACCAACCAGAGCUCCACAGCAGUUGCCUUGGACACCCAGUGAAACAGCACUGACCCGUGAUCACCACCAACCAGGGAUCCACAGCGGUUGCCUUGGACACCCAGUGAAACAGCACUGACCCGUGAUCACCACCAACCAGAGCUCCACAGCGGUUGCCUUGGACACCCAGUGAAACAGCACUGACCCGUGAUCACCACCAACCAGGGAUCCACAGCGGUUGCCUUGGACACCCAGUCUUCACUCAAGAUCGUCAAAAGGACAUUUGGAAGGAUCCCAUUGAGCAAAGUAAACAACGAUAUGUUUUUUCAUGUCUUUUGCUCGUAGGGAUGACUUCCCGAGAGAGAACACCAGGCAGCAUGGAGCACUUUGAUGUGAUUGGCUGUUCAGCAGGAAGUUUCAUCUGGCUACACAGAAGGGAUGAUGAAUCUGACAGAAUGGUUUUUUUAAAUACAUAUUUAAAAAAGAUGAAAAGUACAGAAUGACUCGAUUGAUCAAUUAAUAACACAACUGUUUUUUUAAAUACAUGGAAUAAUGUGAUUAGUCAAGGUACAGAGUUCCUCUGUCCAGUGUCUGUUAUUUUGCCCAUCUUAAUCUUUUAUUGGCCAGUCUGAGAUAUGGCUUGUUCGGUGUAACUCUGCCUAGACGGCCAAUUUCAAAUUUUGAAGUGACCCCAAACGUUUGAACGGUAGUGUACACUACCAGUCAAAAGGUUUGGACACACCUACUCAUUCAAUAAAAAUAAAAAUAAACUAUUUUCUACACUGUAGAAUAAUAGUGGAGACAUCAAAACUAUGAAAUAACACAUAUGGAAUCAUGUAGUAACCAAAGAAGUGUUAAUCAAAUCAAAAUAUGUUUUAUAUUAUAGAUUCUUCAAGGUAGCCACCCUUUUGCCUUGAUCUAUUAGAUGCUAUAGACUAUGUUCAGUUUAGUAUAGGAGUUUAGUAUAGGAGUUUAGUAUAGGAGUUUAGUAUAGGAGUUUAGUAUAGGAGUUUAGUAUAGGAGUUUAGUAUAGGAGUUUAGUAUAGGAGUUUAGUAUAUUCUACCUUGUUUGUGCGCUAUGACCUCACAGACCCGAUACACAUAACCACAAGUAGGAAACAAGGUAGCAUAUGAUUCUCCCAUCUGACAGGGAGGGGUGGAACCAACCAUGAAUAAACUGUUUUGUGUUUUCUGUAUUAUUGGGCUCUCAAUGAUCACCUACGGGAGGUCGUUGACCAGCUCCGUUAUUGAUCACCUACGGGAGGUCGUUGACCAGCUCCGUUAUUGAUCACCUACGGGAGGUCGUUGACCAGCUCCAUAAUUGAUCACCUACGGGAGGUCGUUGACCAGCUCCAUAAUUGAUCACCUACGGGAGGUCGUUGACCAGCUCCGUUAUUGAUCACCUACGGGAGGUCGUUGACCAGCUCCAUAAUUGAUCACCUACGGGAGGUCGUUGACCAGCUCCGUUAUUGAUUACCUACGGGAGGUCGUUGACCAGCUCCGUUAUUGAUCACCUACGGGAGGUUGUUGACCAGCUCCAUAAUUGAUCACCUACGGGAGGUCGUUGACCAGCUCCGUUAUUGAUCACCUACGGGAGGUCGUUGACCAGCUCCGUUAUUGAUUACCUAAGGGAGGUCGUUGACCAGAUCCAUUAUUGAUCACCUACGGGAGGUCGUUGACCAGCUCCGUUAUUGAUCACCUACGGGAGGUCGUUGACCAGCUCCAUUAUUGUUCACCUACGGGAGGUCGUUGACCAGCUCCAUUAUUGAUUACCUACGGGAGGUCGUUGACCAGCUCCAUUAUUGAUCACCUACGGGAGGUCGUUGACCAGCUCCAUUAUUGCAAUAAUUAAUCAAUAUUAAAGGUUGAUUGUUUGAAGAAA